rnacentral:rRNA from 1 species
AUUGAACGCUGGCGGCAUGCCUAACACAUGCAAGUCGAACGAGUGGCGGACGGGUGAGUAAUGUCUGGGAAACUGCCUCUUGGAGGGGGAUAAAUACUUGAAAAGGUAGCUAAUACCGCAUACCAUCAGAUGUGCCCAGAUGGGAUUGGCGAGUUGGUGGGGUAACGGCUCACCAAGGCGACGAUCCCUAGCUGGUCUGAGAGGAGGACCAGCCACACGGGACCGGAGACACGGUCCAGAUCCCUACGGGAGGCAGAAGUGGGGAAUAUUGGACAAGGGGGGAAAGCCUGAUGAAGAAAGGCCGCGGGUAGGAAGAAGGCCUCCGGGUUGUAAAGUACUUUCAGCGGGGAGGCGGUACCCGCAGAAGAAGCACCGGCUAACUACGUGCCAGCAGCCGCGGUAAUAC